AAGCAAUAUGGACACUCCUCGGAUUAUUUGCAUCCCAUUCUUUAAUGGUUUCAUUUGAUAUUGUCUUUUUUUUUCAGUUUACCUGCUGGUAAGCCACAACUAUCACUUUCUUUAUGUAAAAAAAAUGCGUAUGGACCAUUGCGAUAUUUGAGCACGUAUUAAUUGUAGGAAAUGUAAAUGAGCAUGAUUGGUUUGUAACAGCAGAUGAAAGUGAUGCUGAUGUGUAUGCAUAUGUGGAAGAGGAUUUCAGGUGAGUAUUUUUCUGAACAUCCGAGCAAUGGAUUUGAAAGCAAUCUUACAAAAGGUUCACUUGCAACCUGUAUCAUCUCUACUGUAAUUUUACCGUGAUUUGGCAGCUUCCCCCCACCACCCCCUGACCUUGAAUUUAAUCCUGAAGGUGAGUCAAAUGCGCUUUACCUCAGGAGAAUAAAGUUGUAAAAUGAGGGAACAAUGGAAAAAAAACUGUUCUUUUGUAACGUAAUAAACAGACAAAACAUAAUGAUUUAUUUACUUUUAAGUCGUAUUUAAAUCAUGUUAUUAUCCAGUAGGUGGUCGUUUCAAGGUUCAAUGAAGUUUAAUUAAUGUAAAAAUAUAUUUUACAAUACAUCUCUAUUCCUAUUCCAGUUGGUUAUGUGUCCACUGCUAAUGUAGAACAGUAAGUCGAGUUUUUCUGAUUUCUUCAGAUUUUAGUAAGGAAGGUUGUUUUUUAUAAGCUCACUGGGUUCACACAGCUUAUUUGGUCUCAUUUUCCCUCCUGUCUAAGGGACGAUUCUGUUUAUGAUGAUGUUGGAGAAGAGUGUAUCUAUGACAACGACUAAGCGAGGAUGAACAUGCAGCGUAUAUUAACCUUAUUGGAUACUGAACAUCACGUGGUCUCGUCUUGUCUCAGAGGAAACCAUUUUUGUCAUGCUCACCUUCGUUGCUUAUGUUUAUUUAUGCGAUUAUGUGAAAUUACCAAAAUAGUGUUUAGAAACGGACUGCUGCCUGUCGAAAAUGAAAAUUUUCAGAAAUAUUAAUGUUUAAAGGAGGCUUACAGACAGAUCUGUAAACUAGUUUUUUUAGAGGAUAUUAAAGGAGUUUAUCAAAUGAUGCCUCCAAAUGAAGAGUUCUCAUUUUAAUCCUAGGAGAAAUUUAUUAUUUUUAGGGCUGUCAAAUGAUUAAUCGCGUCCAGAAUAAAAGUCUGUGUUUACAUAAUGUAUGUCUGUACUGUGCAUAUUAAUUUAGUAUUUAUAAACACUAACAUGUAUAUAUUUAGAAAAUGUUUGCAUGUAUUUAUUUAUAUUUGCCAAUAAUUUAAAUGUGUUUAUUAAUAUUUUAUUUUUUCUUAAAUAAAUGCGUAUGUUUUUAUAACUACAAAAUAAAUAUGCACAGUACACAGACAUACAUUAUGUAAACCCAAACUUUUAUUCUGGAUGCGAUUAAUCGUGGGUAAUCGUUUGACAGCCCUAAUUUAUUUUAUAUUUAUAACAGUCCAAAUUUAAUUAUAUUACAUUAUUGUGAUCAUUACUGUAGUUAAUAAUUACUGAAUAUUGACGUAUUAAAUUGCUUUUCGUUUUAUAAACAUUUAAAAGCUGUCAUCGCACUAGGUGCUGAGGCCGAAAGAUGUUUCACAUAAAUAUAUAAAAAUACUCAUUAAAAUAAAAAAAUGGACACAGAUACUGAUAAAAACGUAUAGUUAAUAAUUUACUGUAAGUCGCUUUUAAAAAUGCGUAAAAAUGUAGAUAAGAAGGUCCUGAGGUUGCAUCUGUGAAGAGGGCUUUUCACAAACAUCGCGAGAGUUCCGGUGUUGUGAAGAUGACCGUCCCAGCCAACAUGGCGGGCAGCAUCCGCGGCCGUCAGACCCGGAGUGUACGGAUGCGAGGUCGGAAUGACAGCGGGGAGGAGAAUGUACCGCUGGAUCUCACGCGGGAACCCUCCGAUAACAUGCGUGAGAUCCUGCAGAACAUCGCUAAACCUCACGGGGUCUCCAACAUGAGGAAGCUUGGCCAUCUGAACAACUUUGUGAAGCUCCUAAACAGUGUCAAUCAUUGUGAAGAAAAGCUAGGAUUUACAUUUGAGGAAAUCAUCAUUUGUUUGCGCGUGGCAUUGCUGAAUGAGGUGAAAGAGGUUCGGGCAGCGGGUUUGAGAGCGUUGCGCCAUCUGAUCCGAGAGAGCCGCGUCCUUCAGAAAGUUCUUCAGCUGCAGGUGGAUUACCUCAUCUCCAGGUGUAUUGACAUCCAGCAGAGUAAUGAGGUGGAAAGAACUCAAGCCCUCCGAUUGGUCAGAAAGAUGAUAACGGUGAACGCGCAGCUCUUCCCGAGGUCGGUGACGAAUUCUUUGAUCGCCGUGGGAAACGAUGGGCUGCAGCAGAGAGAUCGGAUGGUGCGAGCGUGUAUCGCCACCAUUUGUGAACUUGCGUUGAGAAAUCCAGAGGUGGUGGCCCUGCAGGGAGGUCUGAGCACCAUCCUAAAGAACGUUCUGGACUGUCAGCUGAGCCGGAUCAAUGAAGCUCUGAUCACCACCAUACUGCACCUGCUCAAUCACCCACAAACACGACAAUACCUGCGCGCUGAUGUUGAACUAGAGCAAAUUCUUGCACCUUACACAGACUUUCACUACAGACACAACCCCGACACAGCGGAGGCACAGAUCAAAGAGGACAGAGAGAGUCGUUUUUUAUCCAGUAAAAUGGCCAUUGUGGCUGCGUUCCGCUCAUGGUCAGGUAUCAUCAAUCUGUGUAAAGCUGGAAACUCAGGCGUUCAGUCUUUGAUCGGUCUGCUCUGUAUACCGAACAUGGAGGUCAGGAAAGCUUUAUUAGAGGUCAUGUAUGACAUCUUCAGAUUGCCUGUUCCCAUGGUGACGGAUGAUUUUGAGGAAGCCCUGCACAGUGUGGACCCCAGCAGGUUUCAGGACGGCUGGAGGUUAUCUGAUGGAUUUGUAGCCGCCGAGGCCAAAGUCAUAUUGCCUCACAGAGCACGAUCCAGACCAGAUCUGAUGGAUAACUAUCUGGCUUUGCUGCUGUCAGCCUUUAUCAACAGUGGACUGCUGGAGGGUCUGGUGGAGGUGGUGACCGGCAGUGAUGGACAGAUAUCAGUCAGAGCUACUGUACUUCUCGGAGAGCUUCUACACAUGGCCAAUACGAUUCUUCCUCACGCUCACAGUCAUCAUUUACACUGUUUACCAACGCUGGUCAACAUGGCAGCUUCAUUUGACAUCGAUCAGGAGAAACGAUUACAAGCCAGCGCGGCUGUUAACCACCUGAAGCGCUUCCAUGAGAAGAAACGUCGCGGGCCCAGCCCGUACAGUCUUUACCUGGAUCACAUUCUGCGCAGGACGGCCACAUCCACACACAAGAAAGAUCACCGGUCGCACAAAGACGUCUAUAUCGUAAAGGAUACUGAGGAGGCGCUGAUGAUGAAUCUGCGGGACAGUCAGAUUCUCAGUCACAAACAGAAUCUGGAGUGGAACUGGGUUCUUAUCAUCACUAUACUGAAGUGGCCGAACGUGAACCUUAAAAACAACAAAGACGAACAAAUGCACAAGUUUGUCAGGAGGUUGCUGUAUUUCUAUAAGGCCAGCAGUAAGCUGUACUCGGCCCUGGAGUUGGAUCACAGUAAAUCCAGGCAGCUGACGGUAGCCGGAUGUCAGUUCGUGCAGUUCCUCUUGGAUUCUGAGGAGGACGGUCAGAUGUAUUUAGAGGAGCUGGUGAAGGAUGUCGUACAGUGGCUCGCUUCCUCCUCGGGGUUCAAAUCUGAACGCGGUCUCCAUAGCAACGGCCUCCUCAACACACUCAGUCAGCACUACUUCCUGUUUGUGGGUACGCUGUCGUCACAGCCGGCCGGAGUCAAGAUGCUGGAGAAAUGUGGCGUAUUUCAGUGUCUGUUAAACAUGUGCUUAAUGAAAAACCAAGAGCAUCUGUUGAAGUUAACCGUGUCGACGCUGGACUACAGCAGAGAUGGACUCUCUCGAGUCAUCCUGUCCAAGAUCCUCACCGCAGCCACUGACAACUGUCGUCUGUACGCCACCAAACAUCUGCGCGUGCUGCUGCGAGCUAACGUUGAGUUCUUCAGUAACUGGGGGAUGGAGUUACUGGUCACGCAGCUCCACGACCACAACAAAACCAUCUCGAUGGAAGCGCUGGACAUCCUGGAUGAAGCCUGUGAGGACAAGGCGAACCUGCACACUUUGAUUCACAUGAGACCAGCGCUGUCUCAUCUGGGAGAUAAAGGACUUCUGCUGCUGUUGAGGUUUCUGUCUAUCCCGAAAGGCUUCACAUACCUGAAUGAAAGAGGUUACGUCAACAAACAGCUGGAAAUAUGGCAGAAGGAGUAUAACUUAAAGUAUGUGGACAUGAUCGAAGAGCAGCUGAACGAAGCGCUUACGACCUAUCGCAAACCUGUCGACGGAGACAACUACGUCCGUCGCAGCAACCAAAGGUUACAGAGGCCAAACGUCUUUCUUCCAGUUCAUUUGUACGGGCAGCUGGUUCAUGAUAAAACCGGCUGUCUUCUGUUAGAAGCACAGGGUGUGGUUCAGGAUCUCUGCUACACGGUUCGAUCUCCAAUGUUGGAUAAAUGGGAAGGCAUUAAACGCUUGAAAGCUGUGCUCUGGGCUCUGGGAAACAUCGGCAGCUCAAACUGGGGACUCAACCUGCUGCAGGAGGAGAACGUGUUGCCAGAUAUUAUCGCACUGGCACAACACUGCGAGGUUCUGUCUGUACGCGGUACGUGUGUGUAUGUGUUGGGUGUGAUCAGCCGGACGAGGCAGGGCGGGGAUGCGCUGAAGGUGUUAGGAUGGGAUUCGGUACGUCACAGCAGAAGACAGCAGUGGCCCGUGGUCCCUGAUGAGGUGGACGCUCCGCUGCCCAGUGAACUCUCAUCUGUACCCAGCACGCUCAGUCUCACCUCCGAAUCCACCAGCUCACGACACAACAGUGAGAGCGAAAGUCAGCCGAGUUUGUAUUUCAUGGAUGAUGAUCGUGAAGGGUUGGACAUGUACGAUGACUCUUCUCUCUUCGUACACACGAAACCUCCGAAUGACCGAAGCCCGUUCACCAUCCUGACGCCGUCACACCUCAGAAACCGUUUCCUGAACUCUCUGUCUCUCCCCAGUAAGAAGGGUCGGAGCGACUCGAAAGGCACUAAUGUGGGAAAAUCACCCGAGGAGCUGAGGCUCAUGCGCCGGAGCCGAACAACAACUGAAUCUUCAAACUGCUCUCCUGGUCACUCGGGACAGGGUGACGUGUUCUGCAACGGCGGUCGUGUGUCCCGCAGCCCGACGGUCAACCUGGAGACAUCUUUCGUGGUCAUAAAAGCUCUGUCAGACGAAAACUCCGAUUCAGAGGUCCGAGGUCAGCACAAGGCCGUGACCCCGGGUGACAGCGAGCGCGAGCGACUGACGUGUGAUGGCGCCUCCGUGCUGCCCGGCGGUGGCACGUUUAAGAGUCGCAGUCAGAGCUUCAACACAGACACCACCACUAGCGGCAUCAGUUCCAUGAGCUCCUCCCCUACUAGAGAGACGGCUGUCGCCAUGGAUACGGAUUGCGCCAGCCUCAACACUGUGGUGAGCGCCAAAACUGUGAAAAUGCAAAACUCGCUCAGUCCCCAUUCCGCUCGCGGCCACAUCCCGUUGUCAAAAUCCAAUUCCACAUCUCUGGUUCCGCCCGGGUCGGCGCACACGCUCCCUCGCAGGGCCCAGUCACUGAAAUCUCCCUCCGUGGCCACCAUCAAUAGCCUCGUGGACUGCAGUUUUAUGUACACGAGUCCACGUGACGCGUUGGGAUACGACAUGUUAAAGCGUCUGCAGCAGCAGAGGAUUCACCCGUCUCUGUCCCACAGCGAAGCUCUUUCUUCUCCUGCUAAAGACGUGCUGUUUACAGACACCAUCACGAUGAAAACACGCAGCCUCGACACACGCCUCACACCACGCGGGAGUUCUCGUAAAAGGUUCAGCUACUCCGGGCCGGUUAGCUGCCGUCGCAGAAUGUCCAGAACUCUGGUACCAUGGUGGGUGGGACGGUUCUAGAAUAGGUUUCCUCUCAUUAGACAAGAUUCGCUGUAGCGUUUCCAUCAUAGAAGACUGUAGACGUUGUCAUGUAGAAAUGCCCUCAAAUAGCCAUGAACUAGUGUGUUGUGUAGAACAGGGUCUCCUGAAGUUCCCAAGCCUUUAUGUGAACUCUAAACAGAAGUUGUGCAGAUUUUAGAGUCUGUGUGUAGUAGAGAUAUUGGCCUAUAAAGCUGAUGUUUCACAGCGUGUUUGUGUCGACUCGCAGGUUUUUGAAAGCUUUGAGUUUUGCGUCUCUGGAUAAAGAGGACUUGUUGAGUCCGAUCAAUCACUCCACCCUGCAGCGUUCAUCGUCUCUGCGCUCUAUGGUCUCCAGCGCCACCUUUGGCUGCAGUGAGGAUUACAUCGGCCUCGCGUUGCCCAUGGACAUCAACCAUCUGUUCCAGAUUAAAGAAACGUCAUAUUUCCAGAAGAGAACAAGCCCACCUGCCGGAGAAAACUCAUCCCAGUUUAUUUUUGGAGAAACGGAUGAGUCGUGUCGAGGUCCCGCUCUGAAGCAGCAGGUCAGUAUUACAGAGCUGUUGAACAGCAGUCGGUCGGAUCAGCAUCAUCUGCUGGGUGAUGACGAGACGUCAGGUUUACAGGAACACACGGAGGAGAACUGUCUGUACUGCAGCGCUCUCGCUGUACUCCACUCAAACACACACAACCAUCUGAACAACACACACACUCGCACAGAUCUGUCGGAUGGCUUCUCUCAGUGGCACAGUCAGCCAUCCCAUAAUCACCUGGAGGUGGUCGCGCAGUCAAAGUACUCGGGCGUGUCGGGCUGCAGUGACGCCGCUGUGAGUCAGGGCUCGGCCAGCAGCACUCCCAGUACAGAACUCAUACUGGGUGGUAAAGCCAUAUCUGAGGACGGACCCGCCUGUAGAGUCCUGUUGAGAAAAGAGGUUCUGCGUUUGGUCAUCAAUCUCAGUUCAUCCGUCGGGACCAAAGGUCAUGAAACCGGACUGCUCACGAUAAAGGAGAAGUUUCCAUACGCGUUCGAUGACAUCUGUCUUUACUCGGAGGUCUCCUUCCUGUUGGCCAACUGCACGUUUCGUCUGACUUCACGACGCUUCAUUCAGGAGCUCUUCCAGGACGUGCAGUUCAUUUCACUGUAUGAUGAAGCUGAAGCCGUGUUGGCGAAGCCACCAAAAUCUGCUCCAGUGGAGACGUCAGAGUCUUGAGAUCUCCUCCAAACUUUCUGAAACACCUCAACACUCUCAUCCCUCCGCUUCGUCUUCCAUCAUCUCAUGCACACGGACACAUAGAAACCACAGGACGGAGAAAACGCUGAAGUGGAUGAGAGCAUGAAGGAACGAGAACAUCGCUCACCUUCACUGUAAAAUCUUCAGACACUGGAAUAGAGAUCAAGCUUUGCACGGAGGAGAAACUGGAGAAACACGGGGAACGAUUUACCAAAUAAUGUCUUCAGACUGUGAAAGAGAGCGAGACAAAGACUAGAACUAGAACAAAUGCUGUUUACACUUUAAGAGCGCCGGAUGUACAGAUGAGAUGAAAGGUCACGCUGAUGUGUCAGUCAUGGUAACACUACAGAAACGCUCCUGAACUCUGCGGCGGUCUGUUAGGACUUCUGUCUAUGAAAGCUGAGAGCAGAUCAAUUACAUUUACACUAUUUAUUUUUCUUCUGUGUUUGUACACGUGUGGGUUUGUAUGACCUCCAGACAAUCAGAAUUCAGUAUUUUUGAAAAGCGCACUGGAACUCGUGUGGUGUUUUUGGGGAUCUGUCAUGUGCUUGACAUCUUUGUCUUGUGAAAUGUAUUUAUUAGCAGCUCUGUUUAAGACGCAGGAGACACACGUGAGCGCUGACACACAUUGACACACGUGAUGGACAGUAAAGCCGUCAAGUGACUGAUAGUGUUGAGAUUGUGAAUAUCAAACAAAAACCUCUCAAGAACUGGUUUACCCCAACAUCACAAGUCAAAAACUACACUGACGUAUAAAUACUUUUAUUUCCCUCAUGUUGCAGUAAUGGAAAUAGGAUUUUCUUUACAUCGUGACGAAAACUUGAGUGAAUGUUCUUGAUUGUCCCAAACAUGAGUUUUAUUUAUGUUCAAUAGGAUUUCUUUCUUUUGAUUUCGGGUUAAAAUGUGACCUAGAAAGCAUCUGGCAUGGCUUCAGAUGAGGUGAUGUGGUUCUGAUCUGAGAUGAGAUCGAGGUUUAAAUGCUAAACGAUACUUUCUAACACACAGUAAUAGUUUUGUUGACCGGUUUAGUACGAUGAUUAUCAGCCGGACAUGUUCUGGGUUCAUCACAGGUUAAACUCUAUUGAAAACAUUUGUGUCGUGCUGUUGAUCUUAUUUUGAAUCAUUUCACAUCUGCAGACAACAAAUGUUGAUUUUUCACGCUGGAAAGUUCACCAAAACAUACAAAUUCUGUCGUCAUUCAUUCACUCUCACUGUAUGUCAUUCAAAAUCUGACUCUUUUGUGAAAGUUCAUGUUGUUUGUUAUCAAUGUUCUUCAAAAUAUCUUCUUUUGUGUUCUGCAUAAGAAGGUCAUACAGGUUUGGACAGACGUGAGGGUGAGUAAAUGAUAUUUUGGGUGAACUAUCACUUUAAAAUGCAAGUCUGUGAGGUUUUCAGGUGACCCCUGUGUUGUGUGUAAAGAAUAAAGACUGAAGGUCUAUUUUAGGGCAAUUAAGACUCAUUUGUCCUAAUGAAAAUUAAGCCCAGUUGGACAAUUAAGUUUUAUCAUCACAAUGAAAAAAAUACAUGGUUUGUCUUCAGUGUAUUUAAUGAGGAUCAUCAUUCAUGAACAAAAUAAAUUCCAAAUGAGAAUGUGGGAGGAAGAUGUGCUGAAUUGUAAUAAAAAUUCCAGAAUGA